rnacentral:rRNA from 1 species
AUUGAACGCUGGCGGCAGGCCUAACACAUGCAAGUCGAGCGGAUGAAGGGAGCUUGCUCCUGGAUUCAGCGGCGGACGGGUGAGUAAUGCCUAGGAAUCUGCUUGGUAGUGGGGGAUAACGUCCGGAAACGGGCGCUAAUACCGCAUACGUCCUGAGGGAGAAAGUGGGGGAUCUUCGGACCUCACGCUAUCAGAUGAGCCUAGGUCGGAUUAGCUAGUUGGUGGGGUAAAGGCCUACCAAGGCGACGAUCCGUAACUGGUCUGAGAGGAUGAUCAGUCACACUAGAACUGAGACACGGUCCAGACUCCUACGGGAGGCAGCAGUGGGGAAUAUUGGACAAUGGGCGAAAGCCUGAUCCAGCCAUGCCGCGUGUGUGAAGAAGGUCUUCGGAUUGUAAAGCACUUUAAGUUGGGAGGAAGGGCAGUAAGUUAAUACCUUGCUGUUUUGACGUUACCAACAGAAUAAGCACCGGCUAACUUCGUG